AUGUACAAGAUGCAUCAUAAUGCAAAGAAGCCUGAGAUUAUCAACAUAAAAAAAACAGCAACAAAAUCCAAUUACUUUGACAUCAAGACCUUGAAGAAAACUCAAAAUACAAGGUUCCAAAUUCAUGAGUUUAUGUCAUUUCUUUUAUGUAAACUUACAAACUUAACACAAACUCAUGAAUCAAGUUCACUAAAUGCAAAUUCUCUAUAA
rnacentral:lncRNA from 1 species